UGUUGCAUGGCUGUCGUCAGCUCGUGUCGUGAGAUGUUCGGUUAAGUCCGCUAACGAGCGCAACCCUCGCUGUAUGUUACAUGUGUCAUACAGGACCGCCGGUAUCAAGCCGGAGGAAGGUGGGGAUGACGUCAAGUCCGCAUGGCCUUUAUGUCCGGGGCUACACACACGCUACAAUGGUCGGUACAAUGGGUUGCUAAGCCGCGAGGUGGAGCCAAUCCCCCAAAGCCGGCCUCAGUUCAGAUUGCAGGCUGCAACUCGCCUGCAUGAAGCUGGAGUUGCUAGUAAACGCGCGUCAGCUAUAGUGCGUUGAAUACGUUCUCGGGCCUU
rnacentral:rRNA from 1 species